rnacentral:rRNA from 1 species
GCUUGUCUCAAAGAUUAAGCCAUGCAUGUCUAAGUUUAAAUAGAAAACAGUGAAACUGCGAAUGGCUCAUUAAAUAAUUUUGCAUAUACAAGAUAGUCAACUCUACUUGGAUAACCGUAGUAAUUCUAGAGCUAAUACAUGCAUUAAACCCCGACUUCUGGAAGGGGUGUAUUUAUUAGAUGGAAACCAAUGCGGGGUAACCCGGAAUAUGGUGAUUCAUAAUAACUUUCGGAUCGAUUUAUCGAUGCAUCAUUCAAGUUUCUGCCCUAUCAGCUUUGGAUGGUAGGGUAUUGGCCUACCAUGGCUUUAACGGGUAACGGAGAAUUAGGGUUCGAUUCCGGAGAGGGAGCCUGAGAAAUGGCUACCACAUCCAAGGAAGGCAGCAGG